UAGGGAAUCUUCGGCAAUGGACGGAAAUCUGACCGAGCAACGCCGCGUGAGUGAAGAAGGUUUUCGGAUCGUAAAGCUCUGUUGUAAGAGAAGAACGAGUGUGAGAGUGGAAAGUUCACACUGUGACGGUAUCUUACCAGAAAGGGACGGCUAACUACGUGCCAGCAGCCGCGGUAAUACGUAGGUCCCGAGCGUUGUCCGGAUUUAUUGGGCGUAAAGCGAGCGCAGGCGGUUAGAUAAGUCUGAAGUUAAAGGCUGUGGCUUAACCAUAGUACGCUUUGGAAACUGUUUAACUUGAGUGCAAGAGGGGAGAGUGGAAUUCCAUGUGUAGCGGUGAAAUGCGUAGAUAUAUGGAGGAACACCGGUGGCGAAAGCGGCUCUCUGGCUUGUAACUGACGCUGAGGCUCGAAAGCGUGGGGAGCAAACAGGAUUAGAUACCCUGGUAGUCCACGCCGUAAACGAUGAGUGCUAGGUGUUAGACCCUUUCCGGGGUUUAGUGCCGCAGCUAACGCAUUAAGCACUCCGCCUGGGGAGUACGACCGCAAGGUUG
rnacentral:rRNA from 1 species